UACGGAGGGUGCGAGCGUUGUCCGGAAUCACUGGGCGUAAAGGGCGCGUAGGCGGCGCGGGCAGUCAACGGUGAAAGCUUGGGGCUCAACCCCGAGUCGGCCGUCGAUACUCCCGUGCUUGAGCACUGUAGAGGCAGGUGGAAUUCCGGGUGUAGCGGUGGAAUGCGUAGAGAUCAGGAGGAACACCGAUUGCGAAGGCAGCUCGCUGGGACGUAACUGACGCUGAGACGCGAAAGCGUGGGGAGCAAACAGG
rnacentral:rRNA from 1 species